CAGUCGCCGCGGUAAUACGAGGGGGGCAAGCGUUGUUCGGAAUUAUUGGGCGUAAAGGGUGCGUAGGCGGUUUGGCAAGUCUUGUGUGAAAUCUUCGGGCUCAACCCGAAGCCUGCACGAGAAACUACCGGGCUAGAGUAUGGGAGAGGUGAGUGGAAUUUCCGGUGUAGCGGUGAAAUGCGUAAAUAUCGGAAGGAACACCUGUGGCGAAAGCGGCUCACUGGACCAUAACUGACGCUGAGGCACGAAAGCUAGGGGAGCAAACAGGAUUAGAUACCCCGGUAGUCCCUGUCUCUUAUAA
rnacentral:rRNA from 1 species